GACAGAGGUGCCAAGCGUUAGGCGGAAUCACUGGGCUUAAAGCGUGUGUAGGCGGACUCGUAAGUGCCUUGUGAAAUCCCCCGGCUCAACCGGGGAACUGCUUGGCAUACUGCGAGUCUUGAGCCACCUAGGGGCAACUGGAACGAACGGUGGAGCGGUGAAAUGCGUAGAUAUCGUUCGGAACGCCAAAGGUGAAAACAGGUUGCUGGGGGUGUGCUGACGCUGAGACACGAAAGCCAGGGGAGCGAACGGG
rnacentral:rRNA from 1 species